AUCAUAUUCCUAUUUGAUCUUUAAGCUAAUGUGCUUAUUGUCCCAUUACUAUGUGAUCUAUUAGCCAAUUUGCUUCUCAUUGUUGCUAUUUCUCUAGGUGCUAUUAUGCUACCUUGCUUCUGCUUUUGUAAGUGAGUUCUAAGCUGUUAAACAAGAAUGCGUGAGUCCUGCUCAAAGAAGGAAGUUGCUGCUACACAGAUUCCAAGAGAAGAAUUUGAAAAUAUAACUUUUGGAGAGAAUGGAAUGCAAAUUAGAAGAGCAGAAGCUUGAAAAGUGGUUCACACAGCAUUUGCGGCCCACCAGAUGCCUAGACUGCCCUAAUUUUCAGGCCAUGGGACACCACCUGAACUUCCUGGAUCUUACUUAGCACGGGAGAAUGAUUUGAAAUCCUACUCAUGUCACUUGCCAGAUGGAUUCAACAAUGCACUCUUGUUGUGAAGGAUCCAUAAAAGGCAACCUCUAGGGCCGAAAAGAAAGUCCAUAUGCCAAGCUCUUGCUAACUCCGAAACCUUAACAAAAAGGAUCCAUAAAUGCAACCACGAUUGUCAACUAUGAGAAGGAAGGUUAACUGCAAUCUGGCAUUUUUAUUUAUUUAUUUAUUUAUUUUAAAUAUAAAAAUCUCUUCUUGUUGAUCUAUUAAGGUUUUGAUUGGAAACUGGUAUAUCUUUCUAAAAUUUGCCCCUUACCUCUCCUUUGAAACUAUUCAAUACAUUGUCAAGGCCUAGUUUCAUUAGAAUUCCUCUCACUACAAGAAAGUGGAGAAUAUCCGGCGAAUUUUUACUGGCGGCCAUCACCAACUGCCGGAUGCUCGGACAACUUAAAAUGAAAAGCCCUAUCUCUCUGUCUCUCUUUACUUCUCACUAUCUCUCUCUCUCCCUCUCCAUCUCCAUCUCCACCGUCUUGUCUCUCCCUCUCUCGUCCUCGAUCUCUCUCCCUCAUACUCUCUCGAUCUCUCUCCCUUCCUCUCCCUCCCCCUCUCAAUCUCCCUCUCCCGUCCUCGAUCUCUCUCCCUCAUACUCUCUCGAUCUCUCUCCCUUCCUCUCCCUCCCCCUCUCAAUCUCCCUCUCCUCGCUCUCUCUCGAUCUCUCUUUCCCUCGUUUUCUUCAACGUGUUGUUCCUUCUUUGAUCUCUCUCCAAUAAUUGAAGAAAAUAGAAGAAAGAAGAGAAAAUCGAAGGUUCGAAUUCCAAAUGUAGUAUGGAUUGAUCGGAUGGUCAGUGGGAGCGACAUUGGGUUAUGCACAGACUGCAAAGCUCAGCUGUUGGGUUUGUAUUAUUCCAUUACAUUCUAUUGUUUGUGCAUUCUUUCAUCGGUCAAUACAAGUUUGGAUGUUCCCAACACUUGAGUGUUUACAAUUAUUAUCCCUUGUCGUGUUAACUUUGAAAGUAAAUCUUAGUGCUGCUUUUUUUUUUUAUUAAUUAACUUUUCUAACAACUAGUGCUAUAGAUGGACUUUGCCUUUCAUAGUUGUACCAACGGCUAUUGGAGCUUCCCUGGAUAUAAAUCUGAGCAAUGUGUCCCUUUUUUUCAUAUUCGUGACAUUUACCACCAUGGUUGGUCUGUUAUUCCC